rnacentral:tRNA from 1 species
GCCGCUAUCGUCUAGUGGUUAGGACAUCAGGUUUUCAUCCUGACGACCGGGGUUCGAUUCCCCGUAGCGGUACAA